AAACCAACCGGGAUUGCCUUAGUAACGGCGAGUGAAGCGGCAAAAAGCUCAAAUUUGAAAUCUGGUACCUUCGGUGCCCGAGUUGUAAUUUGGAGAGGGCAACUUUGGGGCCGUUCCUUGUCUAUGUUCCUUGGAACAGGACGUCAUAGAGGGUGAGAAUCCCGUGUGGCGAGGAGUGCGGUUCUUUGUAAAGUGCCUUCGAAGAGUCGAGUUGUUUGGGAAUGCAGCUCUAAGUGGGUGGUAAAUUCCAUCUAAAGCUAAAUAUUGGCGAGAGACCGAUAGCGAACAAGUACAGUGAUGGAAAGAUGAAAAGAACUUUGAAAAGAGAGUGAAAAAGUACGUGAAAUUGUUGAAAGGGAAGGGCAUUUGAUCAGACAUGGUGUUUUGUGCCCUCUGCUCCUUGUGGGUAGGGGAAUCUCGCAUUUCACUGGGCCAGCAUCAGUUUGUGGCAGGAUAAAUCCAUAGGAAUGUAGCUUGCCUCGGUAAGUAUUAUAGCCUGUGGGAAUACUGCC
rnacentral:rRNA from 1 species